rnacentral:rRNA from 1 species
GAUGAACGCUGGCGGCGUGCCUAAUACAUGCCAGUCGAGCGAACAGAUUAGGAGCUUGCUCCUCUGACGUUAGCGGCGGACGGGUGAGUAACACGUGGAUAACCUACCUAUUAGACUGGGAUAACUUCGGGAAACCGUAGCUAAUACCGGAUAAUAUAUUGAACCGCCUGGUUCAAUUGUUAAAGUCGGUUUUGCUGUCACUUAUAGAUAGAUCCGCGCCGCAUUUGCUAGUUGGUAAGGUAACCGCUUCCCAAGGCAACGAUGCCUAGCCGACCUCUUAGGGUCAUCUGCCACCAUGGAUCCGAGACACGUUCCCUACUCCUACGCGAGGCAGCAGUAUCGAAUCUUCCGCAAUGGGCGGAAGCCUGACGGAGCAACGCCGCGUGAGUCAUGAAGGUCUUAUGUUCGUAAUACUCUGUUAUCCGGGAAGAACAAAUGUGUAAGUAACUAUGCACGUCUUGACGGUACCUAAUCAGAAAGGCACGGCUAACUACGUG